CAGUUCCUCUUCCCCUGUAAGUUUCCACAAAGUUCAACGUUCUGCUAGAGUCUGUGUGCUUCAACUCCACUCCAUCUGAUGGAGGUGAUUCCAAUAUGCUGCCAACGUUGAUCACUGCUGUAGUAGAGAUUCUCUCAUAACAAGUGGAAAGAAACAUAAAGGCAACAUCUGGUGUGCUGGAAAGAAUGCUGAAGAGAACCUGGAUCUAAGCUCCAAUUCUACGUACAAGCUGCCUGACAUUAGGCAGUGAUCCGGCUGCCUGCUCCAGUGUAAAAACUACCCCCAAAAUCAGUAAAGUAAAACAACAACCAUCUCAUUAUGCUCAGAAAUCCCAUGGUUAGGAAUUCAAAUAGUUCACUGUAGGCAUGGCUUGUCUCUGCUCCAGAAUAUCUGAGGUCUUGGUUGGGAAAACUUAAAUAGCUGGGACUGGAAUCAUCUAGAGGCUUCUUCACUUACUUGUUGGCUACCUGGGCUGGGGCUCAACUGUGAGAACCCUGGGCUGUGUACUGGUUCCUCAAUGGCGUGGGCUUCUUUAUGGCAUGGCAGCCUCAGGAUAACUGGACUUUCUACACGGCAGCUCAGGGCUUCAAAAGCACAAUCAUGGCUCACUGCAACUUCAACCUCCCAGGCUC